rnacentral:rRNA from 1 species
UACAGAGGUCCCAAGCGUUGUUCGGAUUCACUGGGCGUAAAGGGUGCGUAGGUGGUUGGGUAAGUCUGAUGUGAAAUCUCCGGGCUCAACCCGGAAAUGGUAUUGGAUACUAUUCGGCUAGAGGUUUGGAGGGGGGACUGGAAUUCUCGGUGUAGCAGUGAAAUGCGUAGAUAUCGAGAGGAACACCAGUGGCGAAGGCGAGUCCCUGGACAACACCUGACACUGAGGCACGAAAGCUAGGGGAGCAAACAGG